rnacentral:rRNA from 1 species
UACGUAGGCAGCGAGCGUUGUUCGGAGUUACUGGGCGUAAAGGGUGCGUAGGCGGUUGUUUAAGUUUGGUGUGAAAUCUCCCGGCUCAACUGGGAGGGUGCGCCGAAUACUGAAUGACUAGAGUGCGGGAGAGGAUAGUGGAAUUCCUGGUGUAGCGGUGAAAUGCGUAGAUAUCAGGAGGAACACCGGUGGUGUAGACGGCUAUCUGGACCGCCACUGACGCUGAAGACACGAAAGCGUGGGUAGCAAACAGGAUUAG